UACGUAGGCAGCAAACGUUGUUCGGAAUUACUGGGCGUAAAGAGUGUGUAGGCGGUUUCGUAAGUUUGGUGUGAAAUCUCCCGGCUUAACUGGGAGGGUGCGCCGAAAACUGCGAGGCUUGAGUACUGGAGAGGAGAGCGGAAUUCCUGGUGUAGCGGUGAAAUGCGUAGAUAUCAGGAGGAACACCGAUGGCGAAGGCAGGUCUCUGGGCAUUAACUGACGCUGAGGAGCGAAAGCAUGGGGAGCGAACAGG
rnacentral:rRNA from 1 species